AUCCAGCUGACGGGUCUUAGAUAGGACGAAAUGUGCAUCCUGGAU
rnacentral:hammerhead_ribozyme from 1 species